ACCUCAUGGUAACAUGCCAUUGUGUAACCUCGAAUCAUGCAUAUGAUAUGCACAACUUACUUGACCUAUUUUGAACUGUUAGAGCGUCUUGGAACCUCACUGGGCUGUGUAGCUCAUCCCACGUUGUGGUUUUCUUUUACAGGUUCUGACAACUGAGGAAGACUUGAGAUCUACUUGUACUUUAAGCAUGUAGUUUGAAUUAAACAAUGUAGCUUUUGUUUCGGGUUACCACUUGAAGCUGGAAAAGUGUAACCCUUGAAUUUGUAUGUGGCUUGUAUGAAAUUUGGUACUUGGCUUAUAAGGAUGUAUUUGAAUUAUAUGUUUUGUUUCUAGGGUUGUAAUCGGGAAGGUAUUUUAAGAAUCGACGUUUGGCUAUCUUAUAGUACUGUUAUCUCUGAAGUUAAUGUGAUUCUAGAACCCGGCUUGUUUGAAGGGAAACGAUGUUGUAAUAGAUUAGGUUAUACUUCGGAAGGAUUUUUGCUAGCUUGCUUGCGUGAGUCCUGGCGAGAGCUAGGCAGACGGCCCGCCAACCCUCUGGUUCGCCUUAGGGGGAAGUGGGGUCGCCACAGGUGGUAUCAGAGCUUAGGCUCUAGAUCUUUGUAGUGUAUCUUAGACUUUAAGCAUAAGAUGUCGGACUGUGGAGUUUGAUUGUUUAGUAAGUGGAAUGUGAUCUUAAUACUUGAUGAUUGAUUGAGUAAUAUUGAAGUGUUUGGCUUUAAGUGGGUUUGCACACUAGGGUUUCUUAUAUUAUAAGAAACUGAAGAGAAUUAUGUGAGAAUUGAUUUGAAAAGUGAUAGUUGAGUUUCUUGAAUAUCGGUACUAGCUGAUAUCUAUAAGAUUGAAUUUGAUUGGGUAAAUUAUAAGAUUCGAGAUAUCCUCUAGGCUUGUAAUCUUCGUAAGUAUAUGUAUGAAAUUGAAUGUGAAUCUUGGAUCGAUUGCGUGAGUGAGACCUUUUGUGAAAUUUUCUUUGAGGAAUGGUGAUGAUUGAGUUGAUUUGCAUCUGGAGAUGGCCAGUCCUAGUGCGAAUUGACUUGGUUUCCACUUGACGCUUAGGUGAGCCAGUUGUACAUAUUCCCUGAGUUUGAAAAAUGGUACUUGAGGAGGCUUUAACUAGAAAUCCCAAGGUUGGUUAUUCUUGGAGAUGAAUGCACUUUAGUUAUUGGCUGGCUUGCUAAAGAUUUUUAAACUUUGGAUAAAUGACCUUUGAUUUCAACUUGUAUUAUGACUUGAUUAGCCCUAAUUUUGUAAUGGCAUGCAACUUAAUUGAGACUAGUUUAAAUUCUAUGUUAACUGUUAAUGUGCUAUUUGUGAAAAUGUUAUCUGUGGAUAUAGUUUAUUUGCUCAUUUUGAAAAUUGUUAAAAAUACGCGUGCAUAGAUAAUUUUUAGUUUAGUGAGCCAUUUGCACAUACUUGUAGAGACUAGUUGUGAGAAUGGAAGCUGGGAGACGACGACGUGGACGUCAACCCAGACGACCUCAAAAUCAAGGAGGAGAUAAAGAACCUACCGCCGACCGAAACGCUGAACCUAGGGUUGGGGUAGAAAACCAAAUUGGGUUAGUUUUGACUCGCAUGACAGACAUACUAGAGCGAUUGGUACCCCAACAAGGCCAGGGAAUUGGACAAGUGAACCAACUUGGAAACCAAGAAAUAGGGGAGGAUAGGGCUUUAGAGAGAUUUCAAAAGUUUUUCCCUCCUAAAUUUUCUGGAGAUCCAAACCCCGAUAUAGCCGAGAAUUGGUUGGAAAAUAUAAGGAAUAUAUUUGAUGCACUAGACUAUUCCGAGGAGAGAGAAGUAAACUUUGCUGUGUUCCAACUUGAAGGACCGGCUCGAGCAUGGUGGAACGUUAUAAGAAAUAAGUGGGAAAGGGAACAAACUCCUAGAACUUGGAUGAACUUUGUCCUAGAAUUUAAUGGAAAAUUUCUUCCACCACUAGUCCAAGAAAAGAGAGAAGAUGAUUUCAUAAACCUUCGUCAAGGAACUUUAAGUGUAGCUGAGUAUGAAACACGCUUUACGAAGUUAUCUACAUAUGCCCCAGAAUUGGUGGCUACUGAAAGAAAGAGAAUAAGACGGUUUAUUCAAGGAUUAGAUUUGGAAAUCCAAGAUGCCCUUGCCGCAGCACAGGUUGAAACAUUUAGUGACGCUCUCGAAAAAGCACAAAGGGUAGAAAUCACAAAAUCUCAACUGAGAGCUUUUCAAGCAAGGAAAAGAGAUGCAUCUGACAGUACACUAGGAGAAAAUGAACCACCACCCAAAGUUAGAAAAGAAGUGGAUGGAGUAGGACUGUUACCUCCUGCACCACUCAUGAUAAAGGAACCAAAAGGAAUUAUGUCGCAAGGGACUUCAGUAGGACAGAUACGAUUAAAGAAAAUCUCGCAAGCAAGUCAGGCCACAACACCUCGUCCAAUUUGUGGAUAUUGUGGAAGGACGAAUCACACUGAAGAAAACUGUUGGCUAAAGGGACGAAAGUGUAUGGGUUGUGGAAGUACCAGCCAUAAAGUUCAUGACUGUCCAAGGAGAUAUUCACGAGAAACUACUGCUCAACAGGGAAAUGGAGCUGUUCCUCGACAAGUCAAUGGAAGGAGGAACAGAUCACACGGUUCAGGGUUAUCCGAGAUUCCAGAAGGUAUGAAUUUCGAGGACGAAAUUCUCUUUAAGGAGGGUAGGUUGUAAGAACCCGAAAAUUUUGCUUACUUCAUUUAUUUUGCUGGCUCAAAUAAGUAUUUACUCACCCGAUCUCUCCGAUUAUUAUUUUCUAACAUUUUUAGGUCUAAUUAAAUAUAUCCAUAGCUUAGUUAUAUUUUUAAAACGAUUCGUUUCGAAAUUUAAUUUGUGAAGGCUCGUUAAGUGAAAAUAGUAAAUACGCGACUGCAGUUAACAAUCGAUUCGAAAAAUUACAUAUAACGAAUAAGUGGUUAAAUUAAAAGCCUAAUUGAAUUUUUAUAAAAAUCAAGAAUUUAGAAAUAUCCUGAUUUACCUAGGAGUAACUGCAAGAAUUUCGAGUGAGAGCUUGAAAAUUUUAUUCCUUAUUCAAAAGUUGAUACAUGAUCCACUUUCUUUUAUUUAUUAAAAUACAUGUUUAAUUAUUUCUUUUCGUUAACAAAUAAAAUAGUAAUACCUUUGGAUUUUGUAUCACCUACCCCAUUAAAUAUUAGUACUAGUUAGAAUUAUUGUUAUGAAAAUAAAUAAUAAAAUAAACAGGGAAAAACACUUGUUUUGAAGCAUGUAGAUGCUUAACAUGUACAAAGAUUAAAUGUUGAUUUUCCAUGUUAGUUAGAAACCGAUAGAAAACUAUCUUUACCUUCUUAAACAAUUUUUCUUUAUGUGAUAAAUAUUAUUAUGGAGCAACAAUAUUAAACCACUUGGUUUUCUGUUAAGAUAAAAGAAUAUUUCCAAGGUAGAUUAUUUCAUUGACCUAACAAUUAAUUCAUUAAAUGCCGAUAGUUAGUUUUAAUCGUUAAAAAUGUCAAAGUGUUAAUAGGUACCUUAGUAUUAAGAUGAGGUUGAUAAUUGUAGACAAAAUCGUUACAAGUACACCAAGUAUACUUAGAACGUUAAAAUUUCGAUAAUCAAACUUUCACAAGAUUAGUAUAUUAUUAGGCGUUCAAUUUACAUUCGGGGUAAAUGUUGGAACUAGAUUAGAAAUGAGGGUUUAAGUGGAUAUUAGGAGGAGACGUGAAAAGACUAAAAUGGCCCUCCACCAUCUCGAAAUUACCAUGCAACCACCGAAGCUCCAUUGGCCAACCUUUAGAUCACCCAAUCCCAUUCUCUGCCGGAUGUCAUUUUCUUUGCUCCUCUCAACCACGCAACUUCUCCAUUUCAGCAAACCAUCCUCUCAAACACUCUAUCUCUCCACAACCGCACCUCAACUCACAACAACAACCCACUCCAUUCUUCACCUUGUGAAUAUCGAAGAGAGAAAAGAAAGGAAGUCAUGCGAUCAGAAAAUUGGUGCUGUCCGAGAGAGUAAGCUUCCAUCUUCAAUUCUGCCGUAAGCAAGAGUGAAAGGAGAGAGACCGUGCGUGAGCUGCUGCUGCACUCUCCACCUUCACUUUAACCAGCUGCAAUUCACCUCCACCAACCGUGACCCACUGCACCCAACCAAGAGCAGCUGCAACCAUCCAGUCCGUGUGCGAGCCGAGAGAAAGGGAGAAAAUUUGCAGCAGCUUGUCGUGUGAGUUGAGCCUCCAGCUGAGGUAAUUUUCGGUCUCAGAUUAGCUGAUAUUAGGUAGAGAAUGCUGAUUAUAAGCAUGCAUGUGAAGUUAGGCUCGGAUGAUGAGUUUAAGAAGAAAAGAAAAUCUGAAUUGCGUCGGCAACGGGUUUUGCCGAGAACUAAAACAGAAUUGCAGCGCUAAUCUUGUUUCUUGUAGUAAUCUCAGCUUAUAAAUAUAAUUAACUAACUAAGAACAAGAUGUUUAAGCUUUACAUGCAGCUCCUUGAUUCGGUUAAGCAAGAAGAAAUAAGAAUAAAAUGCAAUCUGUCCGCAUGCAAGUUCAUCCGAAGGUAGCAAACGGAAUUUCUGGAAUUUUUUUUGGAUUAAUGUUACUGUUGUCCGAAUCUAAUUUUUGAACAAGAAAUGUUGAUUAGCUAAUUAAGUAUUUGCAUGUUAAUUCUGAGCACCUAAUACCAUGAAUUAACCGAAGGAAAAGUUGGGUUUAUGACCAAUUAGCUGCUGGAAAUUUUUGUGAAAGCCAAGGGAGUGAAACUGAAAUUUUGCAAUUGUUCUGGAAUUUUUCUUUGGUAAAUGAUGGUUGGAAAAUUUUGAUGGUGGGCUCUAUGAACUCCCAAUCUUGGGUUGUUGUUGAUUUUGUGGUUAAUGAUAAUUAUAAUGCUAGUUUAGUGUUUAAAUAGAUAGAUUAAUGAUACCUAGCUAGUCUAGGCUCCAAGAGAUGCAUAGUUUAAAAAUGUCCAGUUUUGCCCUGUGUUAAUCGCACCUCUUUUUGUAGAAUUUUGAGAGUUUCAUGACUUGUAUAUUAUGUUUAUAUGUUAAAUAUGUGGUGUACAAAGUUUCAUUGAAAAAUAUUGAGUUUUGGUUGGUCAAAUAAAAUGAUUUCGCAAAGCUAGUAAAUCUGGAACUAUUUCAGUAAUACUUUGACCAGUUUUCGUAUUUCGGCUAUAAAUUUGUGCUCCGAUGUCGAAAUUAAGUACCGUCAGCGGCAUUUGAAACUAGACAUCCCAGCCUUUCCAACGGUAUAAAAUUUAUGUUCUGGUUCCAUGUGUGUGAGCCGAACCAAUAAUUUAAAGAUGACUAUCCUGUUUCUCUGUUUUACAAGAACAAAAUGCUGAGGCUGCAACUUGUGGCUCGAAUUCGAGCUAGUUGUGUGCCGAAUUUCAAACUGAUUUCUUCUAUGAAAUUAUAGCUCUAUGAAUGUGUUUUCCAACGCCUUAAACCAUGCCAAAUUCUGAGUUAAUUUGAGUGAUCUGUGAUCAAAAUAUGAAACCUGCUCUGUCCUUGAAAACCCUGAUUUUUUAGACAGAUUUGAUGCAAGGUUUGGCAAAGACUUGCUAACUGAAUAUUUUGAUGCUAAACACUUACCAAAUGUACCAUGAACGUUCUUUAAGUUUUGCCUAAACAAAUGAACCAGGUUUGGAGGAAUUUUUCUUUGACAAAAUAUCUGAAAUGGAAAAACAAAAGGUUCAAGGCAGUUUUGUCUUAGUAUUUGCGAAAUUUUAGGUGUUUGAUUGACCACCUUUCCGAAGUUAUUUUUCCAUGAAAUUUGGUAGAGGAACAACCCUUAUAUGGUAGUAUUAUACUGCUAACUAUGGUGUUAUUCCGAGACCGAUUCAUGGGUCAAAUAAAUUACCAAAGUUCGAGACUUGACUUUGGAAAACCCUUGUUUAACAAGAAACUUUUGGUAACUUUGAGCUACCGUAUCUUGGUGCUCAAAACUCCGUUCCUCGUUCCGUUUGUUUUGUUAUACUCUUGAAUUACAACACUAAUAGAGUCACAAAUUUCAAAAGCUAUUUCCAAACAAGUGAAUUUUGCCGAAUUUCCAAAGUUGGUCAAAAACCAACUUAAAUCUGCCUUAUGUACCAAAACAGUAACUUUGAGCCCAUUUUGACUAUCUUCCAUUUAGAAUCAUGAAAAAGUGUAUUCUAGGAACUUUUAGUAUUUUGAAGGAGGUUUCCAACGGUACCAAGUUUUCCAAUCUUUGACAUGUAAAAGGUGAGCUACGAUUUUUCAAAGUAUCGCAUCAAAACUGAAAUUUUUCCGAAUUCCAAGGAAAUGGAGUUUUUCAAGUACUCCUUAUUCCUUCGAUAAUAUCCAAAUGUCUUAUCCUUGAAUUUCAUGAUGUAGACUUAAUUUCUCUUGUAUCUUGAAACCCCGCUUGAGAAUUUAGAUUUAGGAUAAUUAAGACUUGUUCACGAGAUUUUUCCUAAGUUUGUACUAUGACACGAUUUUCAACAAUAGUAGGGAUUGUAAAUGAUAGACUAUUACUAUUCGUUCAGGCGCACGCAAGGACCUUUAAGAGGAUCCGACAGAGGACGCUUGAACUUCAAAUUGAACCUAUUGCCCUUGUUUGACUAGGUGAGUGUUCCAUAUAGGAAUACGUAAUUGAGUAAGUCUAGGACAUGCUCAUUUCAUGAUCGUUAAGUAUUUACCAUACUCAUGCCUAUUUAAGAAAUAUAUAUAUGCAUUGCAUAUCGACAUGAAUUGGUUAAAUGAUUAACCCUAUCAAAUAAUCUUGUAAACUCAAUAUGUGCUUAGCCUGCUUAUUUUAUGCUUAUUCGGUUAAAGUGCUCUUGUAACUCGUUAUGUGACAAUUUGGAAAAUGAGUUCCGAUCCAUCGAAGUGCGCAGUGUGUACUUUAUCACACUAGCCGUUCGAGUGGUGAAGUGUGUGAAAUAUUUUCUAAUGAAUCUGUGAAUCUAAAUGUGGUUGCGUCGUUGGGUGAAUCCCUCGACUCGUGAAUCAACUACCAUAACUAAUGAAUCUGUGAAUCUAAAUGUGGUUGCGUCGUUGGGGUGAAUCUCCUCGACUCUUACGUGGUAAAAGUGCAAAACGGCCAAUGGCGGCCUAUUAAAAUGACAUAUGUCUACCAAUUAACCGUAAUUACCACCGUUUACCGUUUACCGUUUACCGUUUAUCGUUUACCGUUUACCGUUUACCGUUUAUCGUUUACCGUUUACCGUGUUUACUUACCGUUUUCUAAUAUAUGUGGUUACUGAUUUCUUGAUUAUCAUAAAUUAUAUGCUCAUAUGAAGUUGUCCAUCAUUGUUAGGCGAGUGUGUACUUUACCUCCCUCGACCUAUUCAAAUGAUGAAUUUUACUUUUGUCAAAUUACUUUGUUACCUGUGCAUGUUGUAAGCUAUAAGCUGAACUUGGGCCCCGCCUCGGUUACUGACCUACUCGAGCCAGGACUGGGCUCGGUCGGGUAGGUUGGAACCCUGGACAACCGUUUCGGUAUACUCGAGUAUUACCACUGGAGGGAUAAGGUGAUGGCCAGUCAACCGUGGGGAUCCGGGAGUUAUAAGGUGCAGAUGACCGACAAAUUUCCACUGGAACACCGUAUCCUUUUGUGGUUGUUUUGCUAUUAUAAUGUUAUUGCUCUCCUAGUUGGCAUUCUCGGGUAAGACUCCUCAUGAGCAUUAACCUCUGAGAUGAAGCAAUCCUUGUAAUGUUCUUCUAGUCGGACGAGCCACUAUUUGUUUGACUGAAAAUUUAUGAAAAUAUGUUUAUAUGGCCAUUCAUUCCAAAAGUACUAGUUCUACAUGUGUUUUCAAAGUAGAAAUUAUCCGUGUAAUGAUUAUCACCUCAUGGUAACAUGCCAUUGUGUAACCUCGAAUCAUGCAUAUGAUAUGCACAACUUACUUGACCUAUUUUGAACUGUUAGAGCGUCUUGGAACCUCACUGGGCUGUGUAGCUCAUCCCACGUUGUGGUUUUCUUUUACAGGUUCUGACAACUGAGGAAGACUUGAGAUCUACUUGUACUUUAAGCAUGUAGUUUGAAUUAAACAAUGUAGCUUUUGUUUCGGGUUACCACUUGAAGCUGG
rnacentral:lncRNA from 1 species